rnacentral:rRNA from 1 species
UACGUAGGGGGCAAGCGUUGUCCGGAAUCAUUGGGCGUAAAGAGCGUGUAGGCGGCCCGAUAAGUCCGCUGUGAAAGUCCAGGGCUCAACCCUGGAAUGCCGGUGGAUACUGUCGGGCUCGAAUCCGGAAGAGGUGAGUGGAAUUCCUGGUGUAGCGGUGAAAUGCGUAGAUAUCAGGAGGAACACCAAUGGCGAAGGCAGCUCACUGGGACGGUAUUGACGCUGAGACGCGAAAGCGUGGGGAGCAAACAGG